rnacentral:rRNA from 1 species
AACGCUAGCUACAGGCUUAACACAUGCAAGUCGAGGGGAAACGAUAUUGGAAGCCUGCUUCCGAUAGGCGUCGACCGGCGCACGGGUGAGUAACGCGUAUCCAACCUGCCCACCACUUGGGGAUAACCUUGCGAAAGUAAGACUAAUACCCAAUGACGUCUCUAGAAGACAUCUGAAAGGGAUUAAAGAUUUAUCGGUGAUGGAUGGGGAUGCGUCUGAUUAGCUUGUUGGCGGGGUAACGGCCCACCAAGGCGACGAUCAGUAGGGGUUCUGAGAGGAAGGUCCCCCACAUUGGAACUGAGACACGGUCCAAACUCCUACGGGAGGCAGCAGUGAGGAAUAUUGGUCAAUGGACGAGAGUCUGAACCAGCCAAGUAGCGUGCAGGAAGACGGCCCUAUGGGUUGUAAACUGCUUUUAUAAGGGAAUAAAGUGAGUCUCGUGAGACUUUUUGCAUGUACCUUAUGAAUAAGGACCGGCUAAUUCCGUGCCAGCAGCCGCGGUAAUACGGAAGGUCCGGGCGUUAUCCGGAUUUAUUGGGUUUAAAGGGAGCGUAGGUUGACAUAUAAGUCAGCUGUGAAAGUUUACGGCUCAACCGUGAAAUUGCAGUUGAUACUGUAUGUCUUGAGUGUACAAGAGGUGGGCGGAAUUCGUGGUGUAGCGGUGAAAUGCUUAGAUAUCACGAAGAACUCCGAUUG